GGUCAAGGUCACUGUGACCUUAAAUGUUAAAAUGUUAAAAUUGUUAUAACUUUGGUAUGCUUGGACAUAGAGUCUUCAAACUUGACAUGAAGGUUUGCAAGCACACUUAGAUGACCACUGGUCAUUUCAAGGUCAUUCAUUUGAAGGUCGAGGUCACUGUGACCUUGGAUGUAAAUAUGUUAAAGUUGUUAAUACUUUGGUAUGCUUAGACCUAGAGUCUUCAAACUUGAUAUGAAGGUUGGCCAGAACUAGUAGAUGACCACUGGUCAUUUUAAGGUCAAGGUCACCGUGACCUUGAAUGUAAAAAUGUUAAAA